rnacentral:piRNA from 1 species
UGCAUUGCCACCAAACCUUGUCUGUGCCUUU